UACGGAGGGUGCGAGCGUUAAUCGGAAUGACUGGGCGUAAAGGGUGCGCAGGUGGUUAAGCGGGUCAUAUGUAAAAUACCCGGGCUCAACCUGGGAAUGAGAUAUGAAACUGCGUGACUGGAGUAUGGGAGAGGGCAGUGGAAUUUCCGGUGUAGCGGUGAAAUGCGUAGAUAUCGGAAGGAACACCGGUGGCGAAGGCGGCUGCCUGGCCUGAUACUGACACUGAGGCACGAAAGCGUGGGGAGCAAACAGG
rnacentral:rRNA from 1 species